rnacentral:rRNA from 1 species
GAUGAACGCUAGCGGCAGGCUUAAUACAUGCAAGUCGAGGGGUAGAUAGAGAGCUUGCUCUUUAUUGAGACCGGCGAACGGGUGAGUAACACGUACGUAACCUACCUUCUACAGAGGGAUAGCCCUGGGAAACUAGGAUUAAUACCUCAUGGUCUUUGGGAAUGGCAUCAUUCCUUUAGUAAAGUUCCGGCGGUAGAAGAUGGACGUGCGGCCCAUUAGAUAGUUGGUGAGGUAACGGCUCACCAAGUCCACGAUGGGUAGCGGGCGUGAGAGCGCGAUCCGCCACACGGGCACUGAGACACGGGCCCGACUCCUACGGGAGGCAGCAGUAGGGAAUAUUGGACAAUGGAGGAAACUCUGAUCCAGCCAUGCCGCGUGAAGGAUGACGGUCCUACGGAUUGUAAACUUCUUUUAUCAGGGAAGAACCCUGGAGAUUCACUCUCCAGCUGACGGUACCUGACGAAUAAGCACCGGCUAACUCCG